UACGUAGGGUGCAGGCGUUAAUCGGAAUUACUGGGCGUAAAGCGUGCGCAGGCGGUUUCUUAAGUCAGAUGUGAAAGCCCCGGGCUUAACCUGGGAACUGCGUUUGAAACUGGGAGACUAGAGUGUGGCAGAGGGGGGUGGAAUUCCACGUGUAGCAGUGAAAUGCGUAGAUAUGUGGAGGAACACCGAUGGCGAAGGCAAUCCCCUGGGCCUGCACUGACGCUCAUGCACGAAAGCGUGGGGAGCAAACAGG
rnacentral:rRNA from 1 species